rnacentral:rRNA from 1 species
GGGUCAGUAGGUUGGUCGUGCCACCGGUACGUACUGGUCCCACUGAUUACUCCUUCCUGAAGAACCGUAAUGCCAUUAAUUUGGUGUUGCGGGGAAACAGGACUGUUACUUUGAAAAAAUUAGAGUGUUUAAAGCAAGCUAACGCUUGAAUACAUUAGCAUGGAAUAAUGAAAUAGGACGAUCGAUCCUAUUUUGUUGGUUUCUAGGAUUGACGUA